UACGAAGGGGCUAGCGUUGCUCGGAAUUACUGGGCGUAAAGCGCACGUAGGCGGAUUGUUAAGUCGGGGUGAAAUCCUGGAGCUCAACUCCAGAACUGCCUUCGAUACUGGCGAUCUCGAGUUCGGGAGAGGUGAGUGGAACUGCGAGUGUAGAGGUGAAAUUCGUAGAUAUUCGCAAGAACACCAGUGGCGAAGGCGGACUCACUGGCCCGAGUACUGACGCUGAGGCA
rnacentral:rRNA from 1 species